GAAAUGUCUAUGCCAUGGCGGCGGAAAUAGAAUCUAAGUACUUGGGAUUUUUUUUUCAAGGUUACCUAAAUUUACAGAAAAGGAUGUGGUGGGAACUUGGUGGGGUGUAGAAGAGAAAGUCCUCGAUAUUUCUAGAAGCAGAGAUCUGGAAGGAAGUUCUACCGUGCUUUAAAAGCCUUCUAAAACAUCUCCAGUUACUGCACUAGGGCUGGUACAAGCCAAACAAGAAAGGCUAUAAAAACAGGCUGAAGGUGCAUCGCAUCCCUGAAUCCAGAGGACCAAGCUCUUCAAAGAUUAAGAAUCAAGUUCAGUACUCAGAAGGCAAAGCAGUGGGUGGCCUUUGCUCCGGAAACACCAGACUUCUAUUUGAGCCAUGCCUUGAAUUUCCUGUAAAUGCAUUUCUGUAGAUUUAUCUCCCACCAUCCUGACACACGGCGGAUCGCAACAGUGAACCAAGUCCCUGAAAGGGGCAGUGAAUUCCCACAAAGGCUCCUCUUGAAAGCCUGAACCCAUUACGGAAGCCCAGCAAACUUCGCUGGCCUCCAGGUCCACCAAAGAUAUACCGUACGGAAGACCAAAUGAAGGAGCCUCACAGACUCGGUUGCUCAAGCAUGCAGAGGAGAGUGGCGUGGUUCAUCCACUCUCAUAUCAGUCAGAGGUCUAGACUUUCUCCCUUCCUUCCUCUUGAUUCCACAGAGGACGCAUCAGCAAAACAGGACUGGCGCUUAGGCUCCAAGACGACUUUCAUAUACGUGCACAGAGAGGGAUUCCUCCUAGCCACUGUCUACCAGUCACUGGGGACAGGCCAAGAGCAUAAUGGGUGGAACGGGAAGGCAGCGUGUUAAAUGAGCUAGCCAAGAUGCUGCAAGAUACAUAAUGGUGGAUUGUUGUCAUGGCAACUGCUCUACAACCACACGAUCUCUAUGGCAACCCAAGCUCCCUGGAAUACAAAUGAAACUCCAUAGCAACAGAGAGUCAAAGAGGUGAUAUCUGGAGACCGAGAAGCUC
ensembl:lncRNA